rnacentral:lncRNA from 1 species
CGUUUACUUUUCUACAUUGGUUAGAGGUAUAGGGGGAGGGUUGAGAUCUCACAAACAUGUUUAACCCCGCCGCAUUUUUGCGCCUGUCCCAAGUCAGGAGCCUCUGGCCUUUGUUAGUCUUGUAUUAUUUUAUUUUUAGUUUCUUGUGUACCAUUUGGAAAUUAGUAUGGCGUUCAUUAUCACUGGACCAGUAUAUAUUUGUUUAGGGGCCAGCUGAAGGACGCCUCCGGGUGCGGG